rnacentral:lncRNA from 1 species
GAAUCAGCUUUCUGGUUACUAUGGGCAAUGGCUGUGUUUUCUUUUUGAUGUCCUUUGCAGUGGAUCACAGCUAUCUGCUGAGGUGAGUAGCCUGCUUUCCUGGUAGAUGGCUUUACGUACAUGCACAGUAGCAAAGGCGUACUUGCUGUCACUGUAGAUGUUAAUACGUUUAUUCUACUUUAUCGGAGAGCCUGAGUGAGGGCGAUCAAUUCAGCCUUUUGUGCUGAGGUGUUCGCUGGUGAAGCUUGAGCUUACAACACAUCUGUCUCUGUGGUAACAGCUGCACUGGCUUUUCAUACUUCCUGCUUGAGGAAGCUGCUACUGUCUGUGAAAACGGCGGCAUCUGCCUCUUCUAGGGGCACAGCUUGAAGAUCAGAUCAGCCAGUUUCGAUAGUUUCUAACAGUUCUUGACAGUCAUGAGCAGGAAUAGUGGAGUCUGAGUCAGGAAGUAGUGUAGCUGGAUUGAAACACUUUGUGGGAGAGAAAGUCAAACGAGGCUGAUCUAACAGUAAACUUUGAUACUGCAAGAUGCGAGCAUUUGACAUCUAUUUGCCAGAAGCAUUUUGUAGCAAGGUCUUUACGGCAUGAGGAGCUGUAAGGGUUAAAUUUGGGCUUAGAGUUAACUUAUCAUCUUCUUGGGCCAGGCUUGCUGUAGCCGCUAUGGUUCGCAGACAACUUGGCCAUCUACAGGCCACAGGAUCUAGCCUCUUAAAUAGGCCACUGGGCAUCUUUAGGGUCUUAGAAUCUGAGUGAGCCGUCUUUAGCAACUCCUUGGCUUUUUUGGAGAUAUUAGAGAGGGCUAAAGCAGGGGCUUCAGUUAACGCUAAAUUAAUGGGCUAUUUCAUUCUGUACUUCUUGGAUAGUUGCCACUAAGAUUUUUGUUUGUCUUUUGAAUGCUUUAUGAGUGGCCUUUUCAGCUGCCUGUGUUGCUUGUUUUUGUUUUUUAAACUUAUGAUUGUCAAAAACUUUUUGGGCUAUUUCUGAAAGCUGACUGAUAUUUAUUCUAGCAAAUCUUUCUAGUUUUUGGAGUUUCUUUUUAAUAUCCGGGGCUGCCUGAGCCACAAAUGCUAAAUUAGGAGCACGGCUACUUUCGGGAGCUGCCGGGUCAAAAGGGGUGUAAAUCCGAUAAGCCUCCUGGAGGCGCUCUAAAAACGUUCUUGGUGACUUAUCUGGCCUUUGGACAACUUCGGUCGUCUUAGACAAGUUUAUGGGUUUCUGAGCGGCUCUUUUAAUACUUGUGAGAGGAGAUACCAGUGAAAAUCGUCUAAAGCUCCCUUUCUACUUGAAGAAUUUGGGUCCCAGUUAGGCCGGGUAGAGGGAAAGACCUCCUCAAGGAGGUCUCUAGCUUCUCCUUCCGGUCCACUGGCUGAUGUGAGGAAGUACUUUUUGGCUUCUUUUCGGAUACGUUCUUUCUUUUCAGAGGUGAAAAGGGUUAAAAGGAGCUGUUGGCAAUCAUCUUAGGUGGGUGAGUGAGUCCGGAGUACAGACUCUGUCAGAGAGGUCAAAGCCUGGGGCUUUUCAGAAAAGGGAGGAUUAUAAGUUUUCUAAUUAUGUAAGUCAAAAGUAGAAAAAGGGACACAAACUAAGAAGGGUGCUGAGCGCUCGUCACCUGGAGGGACUUGUGCCUCUCUCAGUGGUAGUAGAGGGGCUACUUCUUCCUGCCACGGUCAUGAUUGAGAGGCAAUGGGUGGCGAGCCUACAGGGGACGUCGUCGAGGAGACAUGGGAUAACUUUAAGGGAGAAGGGUUUAAGGAGUGAGAGCAGAGCCAAGUCCUGGAGACGCUGAACUUGCUGUCGCACCGGAAAACGAGAUGUGCGGGGUAGGGGGCAGGGACAAGGUGGAAAAGGACUACUCGGAUCAUUUUUAAGAUGGGAGAGUAGCCACAGAGGAACAGAGUAAGAAUCUAAACGAAGUAAAGCAGUACGGGCGUACAUUUCUUUACAUAGUGUUCUACUUCAGGGCACAGGAAAAGUUACAGAAUGACAAAAGAGAAACUCCUGGAGGGCAGAGCUGUGUCUGCCAUCUUCAUCAUUGCAUUACCACCACCCAGCACAGUGCCUGGCACAAAAGAGUUGCUCAAUAAAUAAAUCAGGAUGAAUGAAUAAACACAUGGAUAGGCACUUUGAACUACAGAUGAGUUUAAAUACUUUGUGUUUUUCUUAGUCAAACAUGUGCAAUUAAGCAUGUGAUAAAUGAUAUGAUGACCACA